rnacentral:rRNA from 1 species
GAUGAACGCUGGCGGCGUGCCUAACACAUGCAAGUCGAACGAAGUAUAUAUAGGAAGUCUUCGGAUGGAAUAUGUAUAACUUAGUGGCGGACGGGUGAGUAACGCGUAAGCAAUCAACCUGUGACACACGGAUAACUGAUAGAAAUGUCAGCUAAUACGAGAUGAACUGUUUAAAUUGGGAAAUGGAAACAGCAAAGCGAAAGCGGUCACAGACGAGCUUGCGUCUGAUUAGCUAGUUGGUGGGGUAAGAGCCUACCAAGGCGACGAUCAGUAGCCGGCCUGAGAGGGUGAACGGCCACAUUGGAACUGAGACACGGUCCAAACUCCUACGGGAGGCAGCAGUGGGGGAUAUUGCACAAUGGGGGGAACCCUGAUGCAGCAACGCCGCGCGAGUGAAGAAGGCCCUAGGGUCGUAAAGCUCUGUCGUAUGGGAAGAAACAAAUGACUGUACCAUACAAG